rnacentral:rRNA from 1 species
UACAGAGGGUGCGAGCGUUGUCCGGAAUCACUGGGCGUAAAGGGCGCGUAGGUGGCCUGGUAAGUAGGGGGUGAAAUCCUGUGGCUUAACUGCAGGACGGCCUCCUAGACUGCUAGGCUUGAGCAUGGUAGAGGCUGGUGGAAUUCCCGGUGUAGCGGUGGAAUGCGUAGAGAUCGGGAAGAACAUCGGUGGCGAAGGCGGCCAGCUGGGCCAUUGCUGACACUGAGGCGCGACAGCGUGGGGAGCAAACAGG